rnacentral:lncRNA from 1 species
CACCGCCCCUGCGGUCCGCCUCCGAACCGCGCGGUGGGGCGGGGCGGCCCCGGGAGCCGACCCCGCCCCGGAAGUCCUUGUCUGCGUGCUGGCUUACCCCCCAGGACGGGCAGCUCACCACUCUUCCUGCCAGGACAGAUCUGUUUCAGAGGCGUACCCUUCUGUCUGUGGCGAAAAGCUCACGUUUCACUGGAAGUAGGACCCACGGCAGAAACAACAGGACUCACAGGAUUGGCGCACAGAAAACAAAACAAAACACCUGUUCCGCCCAAAAUAGUUCUCUCAAGAAGCGUGAAAUACAAGUUCUGAGCGAUCAGACA